rnacentral:tRNA from 1 species
GGUUGUAGCUCAGUGGUAGAGCACUUGCCUAAUAGGUGUGAGGCACUGGAUUUGAUCCUCAGCACCCCAUAAAAAUAAAUACAAUGAAGGUAUUUGUGUCUAUCUAAAACAAAAAAUAUUGGGCUGGGGUGUGGCAGUGGUGGAGUGCUCACCUAGCACGCAUGAGGCACUGGGUUCAAUCCUCAGCACCA